GACGUAGGUGGCGAACGUUAUCCGGAAUUAUUGGGCGUAAAGGGUGCGUAGGCGGCGCCGUAAGUCAGGUGUCGAAAUUUCGGAGCUUAACUCCGAAACUGCAUUUGAUACUGCGGUGCUUGAGGACUGGAGAGGAGACUGGAAUUUACGGUGUAGCAGUGAAAUGCGUAGAUAUCUGGAGGAACACCGGUGGCGAAGGCGGCAUCCUGGACCAUUACUGACGCUGAGGAGCGAAAGCCAGGGGAGCAAACGGG
rnacentral:rRNA from 1 species